rnacentral:rRNA from 12 species
CGAAAGGAACCGUUGAUUCAGAUAAUUGGUAUUUGCAUCUGUCCGAUCGGGCAAUGGUGCGAAGCUAUCAUCUGCUGGAUAAUGGCUGAACGCCUCUAAGCCAGAAUCCGUGCUAGAAGCGAUAACGUUGGUCCCGCACAUGCCUAGUGUUGGAAUAGAGCUUUGCUCGUACACCAUACAAGCCGCGUGCAGCCGGAAGGGGUAGCGUGGUUGAUUGCAAUGUAAACAUGCGCGGGGGGAAAUCCUUUGCAGACGACUUGAAUGGGAACUGGGUGCUGUAAGCAGUAGA